rnacentral:rRNA from 1 species
UACGUAGGUGGCAAGCGUUGUCCGGAUUUAUUGGGUUUAAAGGGUGCGCGGGCGGCCUAUUAAGUCAGUGCUGAAAUAUUCCGGCUUAACCGGGAGGGUGGCAUUGAUACUGAUGGGCUAGAGUACAGAUGAGGUAGGCGGAAUUGACGGUGUAGCGGUGAAAUGCUUAGAUAUCGUCAAGAACACCUAUAGCGAAGGCAGCUUACUAGGCUGUAACUGUCGCUGAGGCACGAAAGUGUGGGGAUCAAACAGG